rnacentral:rRNA from 1 species
AUUGAACGCUGGCGGCAGGCCUAACACAUGCAAGUCGAGCGGAUGAAGGGAGCUUGCUCCUGGAUUCAGCGGCGAACGGGUGAGUAAUGCCUAGGAAUCUGCCUGGUAGUGGGGGAUAACGUCCGGAAACGGGCGCUAAUACCGCAUACGUCCUGAGGGAGAAGGUGGGGGAUCUUCGGACCUCACGCUAUCAGAUGAGCCUAGGUCGGAUUAGCUAGUUGGUGGGGUAAAGGCCUACCAAGGCGACGAUCCGUAACUGGUCUGAGAGGAUGAUCAGUCACACUGGAACUGAGACACGGUCCAGACUCCUACGGGAGGCAGCAGUGGGGAAUAUUGGACAAUGGGCGAAAGCCUGAUCCAGCCAUGCCGCGUGUGUGAAGAAGGUCUUCGGAUUGUAAAGCACUUUAAGUUGGGAGGAAGGGCAGUAAGUUAAUACCUUGCUGUUUUGACGUUACCAACAGAAUAAGCACCGGCUAACUUCGUG